AUUGAACGCUGGCGGCAGGCUUAACACAUGCAAGUCGAGCGGAGAUGAGGUGCUUGCACCUUAUCUUAGCGGCGGACGGGUGAGUAAUACCUAGGAAUCUGCCUGAUAGUGGGGGACAACGUUUCGAAAGGAACGCUAAUACCGCAUACGUCCUACGGGAGAAAGCAGGGGACCUUCGGGCCUUGCGCUAUCAGAUGAGCCUAGGUCGGAUUAGCUAGUUGGUGAGGUAAGGGCUCACCAAGGCGACGCUCCGUAACUGGUCUGAGGGGAUGAUCAGUCACACUGGAACUGAGACACGGUCCAGACUCCUACGGGAGGCAGCAGUGGGGAAUAUUGGACAAUGGGCGAAAGCCUGAUCCAGCCAUGCCGCGUGUGUGAAGAAGGUCUUCGGAUUGUAAAGCACUUUAAGUUGGGAGGAAGGGUUGUAGAUUAAUACUCUGCAAUUUUGACGUUACCGACAGAAUAAGCACCGGCUAACUCUGUGCCAGCAGCCGCCGUAAGAC
rnacentral:rRNA from 1 species